AGGAAGGGUUUGAAAUAAAAUUAUUCUUGUCACCUUCUCACCAGCCAAUGUGGACAUCCUCAUCUCCUGUUUAAAAAAAAAAAGAAAAAACAAGUUAGU